rnacentral:rRNA from 1 species
GAUGAACGCUGGCGGCGUGCCUAAUACAUGCAAGUCGAGCGAACGGACGAGAAGCUUGCUUCUCUGAUGUUAGCGGCGGACGGGUGAGUAACACGUGGAUAACCUACCUAUAAUACUGGGAUAACUUCGGGAAACCGGAGCUAAUACCGGAUAAUAUUUUGAACCGCAUGGUUCAAAAGUGAAAGACGGUCUUGCUGUCACUUAUAGCUGGAUCCGCGCUGCAUUAGCUAGUUGGUAAGGUAACGGCUUACCAAGGCAACGAUGCAUAGCCGACCUGAGAGGAUGAGCGGCCAAACUGGAACGGAGACACGGUCCAGACACCUACGGGAGGCAGCAGGGGGGAAGAUUGGAAAAUGGGCGAAAGCCUGAGGCAGCCAUGCCGCGUGGGGGAAGAAGGCCUUCGGUUUGGAAAGCCCUUUUAUGGGGAAAGAAAAGAAGCAAGGUAAUAACCCGCGUUUCUGACGGUACCCAAAGAAAAAGCAACGGCUAACUACGUG